rnacentral:rRNA from 1 species
UCUGUAGGUGGCCUGCUAAGUCAGACGUGAAAUCCCUCAGCUUAACUGGGGAACUGCGUCUGAGACUGGUGGGCUUGAGGACAGGAGAGGAACGCGGAAUUCCAGGUGUAGCGGUGAAAUGCGUAGAUAUCUGGAGGAACACCGGUGGCGAAGGCGGCGUUCUGGACUGUUUCUGACACUGAGAGACGAAAGCCAGGGAGCAAAACG